CCUGGCUCAGGACGAACGCUGGCGGCGCGCCUAACACAUGCAAGUCGAACGAGCGAUGGAGAGCUUGCUUUCCAGAGCGAGUGGCGAACGGGUGAGUAACGCGUGAGGAACCCGCCUCAAAGAGGGGGACAACAGUUGGAAACGACUGCUAAUACCGCAUAAGCCCACGGCUCGGCAUCGAGCAGAGGGAAAAGGAGUGAUCCGCUUUGAGAUGGCCUCGCGUCCGAUUAGCUGGUUGGUGAGGUAACGGCCCACCAAGGCGACGAUCGGUAGCCGGACUGAGAGGUUGAACGGCCACAUUGGGACUGAGACACGGCCCAGACUCCUACGGGAGGCAGCAGUGGGGAAUAUUGCACAAUGGGGGAAACCCUGAUGCAGCGACGCCGCGUGGAGGAAGAAGGUCUUCGGAUUGUAAACUCCUGUUGUUGAGGAAGAUAAUGACGGUACUCAACAAGGAAGUGACGGCUAACUACGUGCCAGCAGCCGCGGUAAAACGUAGGUCACAAGCGUUGUCCGGAAUUACUGGGUGUAAAGGGAGCGCAGGCGGGAGAACAAGUUGGAAGUGAAAUCCAUGGGCUCAACCCAUGAACUGCUUUCAAAACUGUUUUUCUUGAGUAGUGCAGAGUAGGCGGAAUUCCCGGUGUAGCGGUGGAAUGCGUAGAUAUCGGGAGGAACACCAGUGGCGAAGGCGGCCUACUGGGCACCAACUGACGCUGAGGCUCGAAAGUGUGGGUAGCAAACAGGAUUAGAUACCCUGGUAGUCCACACCGUAAACGAUGAUUACUAGGUGUUGGAGGAUUGACCCCUUCAGUGCCGCAGUUAACACAAUAAGUAAUCCACCUGGGGAGUACGACCGCAAGGUUGAAACUCAAAGGAAUUGACGGGGGCCCGCACAAGCAGUGGAGUAUGUGGUUUAAUUCGACGCAACGCGAAGAACCUUACCAAGUCUUGACAUCCCUUGACGAACAUAGAAAUAUGUUUUCUCUUCGGAGCAAGGAGACAGGUGGUGCAUGGUUGUCGUCAGCUCGUGUCGUGAGAUGUUGGGUUAAGUCCCGCAACGAGCGCAACCCUUAUGGUCAGUUACUACGCAAGAGGACUCCGGCCAGACUGCCGUUGACAAAACGGAGGAAGGUGGGGAUGACGUCAAAUCAUCAUGCCCUUUAUGACUUGGGCUACACACGUACUACAAUGGCGUUAAACAAAGAGAAGCAAGACCGCGAGGCGGAGCAAAACUCAGAAACAACGUCCCAGUUCGGACUGCAGGCUGCAACUCGCCUGCACGAAGUCGGAAUUGCUAGUAAUCGUGGAUCAGCAUGCCACGGUGAAUACGUUCCCGGGCCUUGCACACACCGCCC
rnacentral:rRNA from 1 species